UUGAAGAGUAAUGUACAUUCUAAAAAGUGC
rnacentral:piRNA from 1 species